GACGAACGCUGGCGGCGUGGAUUAGGCAUGCAAGUCGAACGGUAUCAUCCUUUCGGGGGUGAGAGAGUGGCGAACUGGUGAGUAACACGUAGGUUAUCUACCCUCAAGACGGGGACAACCCAGGGAAACUUGGGCUAAUACCGGAUGUGAGCAACUUUUUAGUUGUUUGAAAGGUGGCGUAAGCUGUCGCUUGGGGAUGAGCCUGCGUCCUAUUAGUUAGUUGGUGAGGUAACGGCUCACCUAGGCAAUGAUAGGUAGGCGGCCUUAACGGGUGGUCGCCCACACUGGGAUUGAGAUACGGCCCAGACUCCUACGGGAGGCAGCAGUCGAGAAUAGUCUACAAUGGUCGGAAGACUGAUAGUGCGACGCCGCGUGAACGAUGAAUCCCUUCGGGGUGUAAAAGUUCUUUUAUAUGUGAGCAGUGCUUCUUAUAUUAACAGUAUGGGGAGAGAGAUAUUAGCAUAUGAAAUAAGCAACGGCUAACUCCGUGCCAGCAGCCGACGGUAAUA
rnacentral:rRNA from 1 species